AUUGAACGCUGGCGGCAUGCUUUACACAUGCAAGUCGAACGGUAACAGGGUGCUUGCACCGCUGACGAGUGGCGAACGGGUGAGUACUGCGUCGGAACGUGCCGAGUAGUGGGGGAUGACGCAGCGAAAGUUGUGCUAAUACCGCAUACGUACUGAGGUAGAAAGUGGGGGACCUUCGGGCCUCACGCUAUUCGAGCGGCCGCCGUCUGAUUAGCUAGUAGGUGGGGUAAAGUCUCACCUAGGCGACGAUCAGUAGCGGGUCUGAGAGGAUGAUCCGCCACACUGGGACUGAGACACGGCCCAGACUCCUACGGGAGGCAGCAGUGGGGAAUUUUGGACAAUGGGCGAAAGCCUGAUCCAGCCAUGCCGCGUGUCUGAAGAGGGCCUUCGGGUUGUAAAGGACUUUUGUCGGGGAGGAAAUCCCCAGCGUUAAUACCGCUGGGGGAUGACAGUACCUGAAGAAUAAUCACCAGCUAACUACGUGCCAGCCGCCGCCGUAAGAC
rnacentral:rRNA from 1 species